rnacentral:rRNA from 1 species
GACAGUCGAUGGCUAACGGGUUAAUAUUCCCGUACUACUAAUUACUGUGAUGGGGUGACGGAGUGAUGAAAGCGCCGCGAACUACGGAAUAGUUCGUUGAAGUACCUACCUAUAGGAUCUGCAGGCAAAUCCACAGAUCUUGGGGAAAUACGAUAGUACUCGGAGUCUUCGGACAAAGAGAUAGUGCGCCUAAGGGCUUCCAAGAAAAACCUCUAAACUUCAGGUAAUUAGUACCAGUACCGUAAACCGACACAGGUAGUUGAGGAGAGAAUCCUAAGGUGCUCGAGAGAUUCAUGGCUAAGGAAUUAGGCAAAAUAGACCUGUAACUUCGGGAGAAAGGUCGCCAGCGCAAGCUGGCCGCAGUGAAGAGGUCCAGGCGACUGUUUAUCAAAAACACAGGGCUCUGCAAAAUCGUAAGAUGAAGUAUAGGGCCUGACACCUGCCCGGUGCUGGAAGGUUAAGAGGAGAUGUUAUCUUCGGAGAAGCAUUGAAUUGAAGCCCCAGUAAACGGCGGCCGUAACAAUAACGGUCCUAAGGUAGCGAAAUUCCUUGUCGGGUAAGUUCCGACCUGCACGAAUGGUGUAACGAUCUGGACACUGUCUCAGCCAUGAGCUCGGUGAAAUUGUAGUAACGGUGAAGAUGCCGUUUACCCGCAGUGGGACGAAAAGACCCUGAGCACCUUUACUAUAGCUUAGUAUUGACCUUGGAUAAAUGAUGUGUAGGAUAGGUUGGAGACUGUGAAGUGGCGUCGCCAGGCGUUGUGGUCAUUGUUGAAAUACAACCCUUUGUUUAUCUGAGGCCUAACCCCGUUUUGCGGGGGACAUUGCUUGGUGGGUAGUUUGACUGGGGUGGUCGCCUCCAAAAGAGUAACGGAGGCUUCUAAAGGUUCCCUCAGUACGCUUGGUAACCGUGCGUAGAGUGCAAUGGCAUAAGGGAGCUUGACUGAGAGACAUACAGGUCGAUCAGGUACGAAGGUAGAGCAUAGUGAUCCGGUGGUUCCGCAUGGAAGGGCCAUCGCUCAAAGGAUAAAAGGUACGCCGGGGAUAACAGGCUGAUCUCCCCCAAGAGCUCAUAUCGACGGGGGGGUUUGGCACCUCGAUGUCGGCUCGUCACAUCCUGGGGCUGGAGAAGGCCCCAAGGGUUGGGCUGUUCGCCCAUUAAAGUGGCACGCGAGCUGGGUUCAGAACGCCGUGAGACAGUUCGGUCUCUAUCUACUGUGGGCGUUAGAAAUUUGAGUGGAUCUGAUUCUAGUACGAGAGGACCGAAUUGGACAAACCUCUAGUGUAUCUGUUGUCCCGCCAGGGGCACCGCAGAGUAGCUACGUUUGGAAGGGAUAAGCGCUGAAAGCAUAUAAGCGCGAAACCCACCACAAGAUGAGAUUUCUUUUAAGGAUCGUGGAAGAUGACCACGUUGAUAGGCUAUAGAUGUAAAGGCAGUAAUGUCAUAGUCGAGUAGUACUAAUAAUCC